rnacentral:rRNA from 1 species
GGUAGAUAGGGGCCAGGAGCGGCGGGAUUGCGGAGGGGGUAAGCGUUGGUCGGAAUCAAUGGGGGUAAAGGCCGUGGAGGCGGCCCGGUAAGGCCGCUGUGGAAGUCCAGGGCGCAACCCUGGGAUGCCGGUGGAUACUGUCGGGCUCGAGUCCGGAAGAGGCGAGUGGAAUUCCUGGUGUAGCGGUGAAAUGCGCAGAUAUCAGGAGGAACACCAAUGGCGAAGGCAGCUCGCUGGGACGUGACUGACGCUGAGACGCGAAAGCGUGGGGAGCAAACAGGAUUAGAUACCCUAGUAGUC